UAUUCAUUAUAAUAACAUUCCAGUUUUAAUAUCCAAGAGUGAGUGAUAUAUAAGUGUAUAAUUGAAUGAGUAGGUGACAGUAUUAUGAAAGGUGUAUGAUAGUAAAUGAUUAAGUAUUUAAUAUAUGUGUAAACUAUUCAUGAUAACAUAUAAAGUAAUAAUGAUAAACUUGAUAAUAUAGUUUUAUCUGUAAGAUUUAGUAAAAUAUAUGAAAUCUGCAUAAAACUGAUAAAAGUAUGAUUAAUACUUAAAUUUCUAGUAACAGUAAUAUAAAAUCUAUUUUAACAGUUUGUAUGAGUGAGCGUUAAAAGAUUUUAUACUUCUAUAAAGUUAAUACAAGUAAAUAUUUGAUUAACCAGAUUUAAGGGGAGAUAAUUCUGUUUAUUCUAAUCUAGCAGUAUUGCAUAAGGUUUUUAUAAUUUUAAUAUUUUGUCUUCAGGUAUUACAUAUAUUGUAAAGAAUGUAAACUGAUUCAAACCAAUCAGUUGGUGAAGCAAAGACCUUUGCACUACAUGUGAGGGUCAUUUUUCACUUAGAAUAUUUACAUCAAUUCUGAUGAAAUAAAAGAACCAUAGACCCAUACAACGUGUUUGUGUUUUAUUUAAAUACAAGGGAAACACGACUACAUUUUGGCGCCCAACGUAGAUUUCAUCAGUGUUAUUAAAGAUCAACGAUUUCCAUUACCUGUGGAGGGAGCUCCGUUACUACGUAAUAGAUAUUAGUGUUUUGAUACGUCACCAGAAGUAAUACGUCACUAGUCGAUAUACGUAUACUGAACUCUGUGUUUACCUGCGGAAGUCAAGAAAUAGGACAACAACAACACAUGGAUUUUCAGUGAAAAUAUUUUGCAGUUUUAUGGUAUUACAUAUAUUGUAAAGAAUGUAAACUGAUUCAAACCAAUCAGUUGGUGAAGCAAAGACCUUUGCACUACAUGUGAGGUAUGUUUAUAUGUAUACAGUUUGUAAUGUUCAUGUUACUUUUAUGUUGCUUUGCUUAAAUGUAUUGUCUGCUUUGUGUAACUGUUGCCAAUACGUAAUGUCUUGUUUGCACUUACAAUUGCGUUGUAUUAUUAUGUUUAACUAACUAUUUUUGGUAUGAUACUACAAGCGUAGCUAUGUAUUUAGCUGUGAACUUAGUCUGUCGUUGCAUAUUUCACAAUGCACGAAAUACAGAGAUAUAUAUUAUGUACUCGUUUAAUACAGAAUUCGAAAUGGUGUAAUAUCGUUUUGUGUGGCUUGUUAAACUAUUAUUUUAAAGAGCAAAGAAAAUCUACAGUUUUCUUGUAUGCAUAUAGAUAUAUUGAUUUUAUAGUAAUUGAUAAUUACUACUUAUUGAAUUGUAUAAGAAUUAUAUUUGUUAUUA